rnacentral:rRNA from 1 species
GAUGAACGCUGGCGGCGUGCUUAACACAUGCAAGUCGAACGAAGCACUUUACUUGAUCUCCUUCGGGAUUGAUUGUUCUGUGACUGAGUGGCGGACGGGUGAGUAACGCGUGGAUAACCUGCCUCACACAGGGGGAUAACAGUUGGAAACGGCUGCCAAUACCGCAUAAGCGCACAGCACCGCAUGGUGCAGUGUGAAAAACUCCGGUGGUGUGAGAUGGAUCCGCGUCUGAUUAGCUGGUUGGCGGGGUAACGGCCCACCAAGGCGACGAUCAGUAGCCGGCCUGAGAGGGCGACCGGCCACAUUGGGACUGAGACACGGCCCAGACUCCUACGGGAGGCAGCAGUGGGGAAUAUUGCACAAUGGGGGAAACCCUGAUGCAGCGACGCCGCGUGAGCGAUGAAGUAUUUCGGUAUGUAAAGCUCUAUCAGCAGGGAAGAUAAUGACGGU